UCUGGGUCAAACUGAAAGUAGAAAAUGUCCACUUCUACGAGUUGGAGUUGGGCGAUAUUCGCAUGCGGAUCUGGCGCGCUAGGAGUUGUCUCUUACUUUGGGAUAGACCACCAUGAAAGGGAAGAAUACCAUGAUACUAAACAACACAGUGCUAGAGAGAGCCUUCAAAGGAUAACACAAGAAAAGGCAGAAGAGUACCGGGAGCUGAUACUGGAACCGCUGGAAUAGGCAUGCCUGGAGAAACAAGAGAAACACCUGAGACAUGUGCUGGAGCCUUUGUUCUUCACAGGCAAGGGGGAGUUGCUUGGAGGGGACGAAAGACUAGAGACCAGUAGAGAUGACAAAAGUGUAAACAAAGAGGCCAGGAAAGUACGGUAAGACGGUUUCCAGCUCACGUACAAGAACACAUACCAGCACAGCCAACCAGGAGAAAGAGGGUAACAUACCCAUCAGAUGGGUAAUUGUGUUACCAGAGGAACCAGAGGUGGGUGAGGAUGUCGUCAUGGUGACGGUGCAUACACUGCGGGAUGAAAGGCGAGCACGCAGGUUCCACCUAGAUACCACCAUGCAGGUGCUGUUUGACUACAUGACCACUCUGGGUUACAACCCCCAUAACUACACACUGGCCUGGUCGUAUCCAAGACAAACACUCCCUGACGAACCGGAUGUCACUCUAAGCCAGCUCCAGUUUGGUUGUCGCACCUUGCUGUUUGUUCAGGAGAGGGAGCUCAUGUGACAGUUAUGUGAUCAGUGAAACUGUCUGUACAUGAGCUCAUGUGACAGUCAUGUGAUCAGUGAAACUGUCUGUUCAGCAGAGGGAGCUCAUGUGACAGUCAUGUGAUCAGUGAAACUGUCUUUACUUGAGCUCAUGUGACAGUCAUGUGAUCAGUAAAAGUGUCUGUUCAGCAGAGGGAGCUCAUGUGACAGUCAUGUGAUCAGUGAAACUGUCUGUACAUGAGUUCAUGUGACAGUCAUGUGAUCAGUGAAACUGUCUGUACAUGAGUUCAUGUGACAGUCAUGUGAUCAGUGAAACUGUCUGUACAUGAGUUCAUGUGACAGUCAUGUGAUCAGUGAAAGUGUCUGUACAGCGGAGGGAGCUCAUGCGACAGUCAUGUGAUCAGUGAAACUGUCUUUACUUGAGCUCAUGCACCAGCCACCCAAGUUUUUGAAAUAGUACCAGAGCACAUAGCAUGUAUAAUUUAAGUCACAUGGGUUGUUGGUGAAGUAACUGUUUUGUACCAUGUAGUCAUUACAAGUUUAUUUAUCCGCAUGCUAGUAAUCACAUGAUUAAGCUUCACCUACUUUUUACCAUUCAGAUAUGGGAGUUCAUGUAUAGGCGAAAACAAUGAAAAUACUUUCCAACAUGGUACAAUGAAAAUAAAUGACCUUCUCAUGUAAAUUUCUGCUGGUCUGAAUGUGUCAUGUUGUUGGAAUUUUAAGCAUAAAUCUAUAUGUCCUGUCUCUUGUAGCAUUUGCCUGCACAAACACUUUCUGUUGGGAACAAUGAUUCCUAUCUUGACUUUAGACCACACCAAAUUGAUGUUUCAUUUCUCAGAUUUACAACACCUAUUAUUAAGAAAAUGCAAAAACAAAAUUUACAAAAAAUCUUAAAAAGGACCAAAACCAGAUUUCUUGUGAAGUCAUGUUGCAUCUUACAAUGCAAGAACAUGUUAUUUGAUGUGUCUGUGACAACUUCUGGGAAACAACAAAAUUUAAAAAUGAUUACUUUGUGGCAUUAUUUUGUAAACUUACAUGAGAGAAUGAAGUUUUAAUGUUCAGAAUUAUCAUUCUAAAUAUUUAUUUUGUGGGAAAACAACAAAAUGAAUUUUGUUUUUGUUUUUAUGCCCCCAAAAGAGGGCAUCAUAAAAUUGAACUGUCUGUCCAACUGACACAUGAACUAGACAUUAUAAGGCUCAAUAGAACCAAAGAUCAUGCAGGUCUUUAAGAUAUCUUGAAUUGACUGGUUUUAUAUUCAUAUACAGAAGGUAACAUUGGUUUUUAUCGAGAAUUAAAGGAAUACACUAUGCAUCCAUAUAUACUCAGCAAAAAAAGUCAUGCGACUAGGUAUACGAGGUGCAGUCAAAAAGUUCCCGGACUGCCUUUGUACUUUUGACAUUUUUGGGAUUUGAAAAAAUAAAAUUACAUCAAAUUAAAGCUGAAACUAUAUUCUACAUGACUGAACAUAUAUUAACUUUUAAUCACACAUAAAACAAUCAUUUUUUACAUAGAAAAUAAACAUAACUCACUCUGUACGGAUCACUUCGUACGGAAAUGACGUACUGUUGACGUUCACUAAUGAAAUUACGUCAAUGUAGGCGCUUGUAUGCUAGUCAAUGUGUUUCAAAGCAUAUUGCCCUUGAAAUUCAAUACAUUUUCUGUGCCAAUCUACCCACUUAUUAAAAAUGUCUGCAUACCACCCCUUUUUGCAAUUGCUUACCGCCGACCUGACGCCACUUUUCAUUUCUUCUGCUGAUUCAAUUCUGCCACCUCGUAAGUUGGUCUUUAAUCUUGGAAAUACACAGUAGUCCAAAGGCGCUAGGUUGACACUUUAAGUCGGAUAAUGCAGUCUUUCAUACCCGAAAAAUCUAAUGUUAGUAGCGCGUCUUGAUGAAAGAUCAAAUUUCGCAGUACGGACGUUUAUUUCUCAAUGAUCGUGAGAUGUCUCUGCACGUCUCAAAUGUCACAAACAUAUGUUAACUCAAUGUGAACCCAAUUCAUAUCAUAAAAAAGCCUGGAAUCAAUUAUAAAUAAAUAAUUGUCAAGAUGUUGUGUAUAUUCCCAUGGCUAAAUCCGACACAUCAGCUAUUUCGUCGAUCGAUUUCCGCCGAUGUACCGAAAUGACACGCUGCAUUUUGUCGAAACUGCCACUAUCCUGUUCCAUUAUUGUCAGUUAUGUCAUCACCUGGAAAUGCUUGUGCCAAUCCAAUAUGAAUGUCCGGGAACAUUUAGGUAAACUAUCUACCAGAUUUAUAAAUUUCCAUGCAUCCUUUGGUGUCAUUCCUGCACUCGCAGAGUAGUUCAUGACUGUCCGUUGCUCUGUUCGCACGGAUGACGUUGACAUUUCUUCACCGGCGAUAUCUUCCAUUGCUUCAGACAAUGCAUACUAAUUCAAUAAUUUUUAAGUGAUGAUGUUUGUUUUGGACGUGUGUUUAGAAAUGACGUUAGUGAGACGUCAUGUAAAUUUACAUGAUAAAACGGCGCCAAUAUAUUGCAUAUGUAGCGUUUUUAAGAGUGAAAACAAUUUCGUAAUCGGUAAUAAUAUUCAAGGUGAUCCGUAGCGUAGGUUAUAUACUACAAUGAACAUAUUUUUCUAUCAAAAUAUGGAUGCUAUGUAAAUAAUUCUGCUUACAAAAUGUAAACAUGUUAGGAUUUAUGUGUGACAAGUAUCGUCAUAGUCAGACGUCAAAAGUGUGCAAUAUAUAACCAGUCCGGGAACUUUUUGACUGCACCUCAUAUAAGGGCAUAUAAUUUAGAAUGUAUUGGAAAAUAUUUUAAUGAAAUACAUAAUAUGAAAUAAUAAAUCGAGGACAAUCGUUUAUUACAAAUUUUAAUAAAGUUUAUGGCAGUGAACAAAUCAUUUUAUCGAUUUGAUCAGUAUAGGGGUCAGGGUGUAAAAGACACAGUACAGCUUGUUUCAGCAUAUAACCGUUUUGUAUGACCAACUACUGGAAUGAAAUAAACAGUCGCAAAAUCAACAAAAACAAUGUAAAAAAAUAAAAAGUAAAUAACAUAAACAGAACAUCACAUGACUACAAAGCCUUAUAUUAAUUUUUUCUUGCUAAUAAAGGCAUAUACUUUCUCUU